AUACGGAGGAUCCGAGCGUUAUCCGGAUUUAUUGGGUUUAAAGGGUGCGCAGGCGGCCAUUUAAGUCAGCGGUUAAAUCGUGGGGCUCAACCCCAUUCUGCCGUUGAUACUGGGUGGCUUGAUUGCGGUCGAGGUUGGCGGAAUUCGUUGUGUAGCGGUGAAAUGCAUAGAUAUGACGAAGAACACCGAGUGCGUAGGCAGCUGACCAGAUCGCAAAUGACGCUCAUGCACGAAAGUGCGGGGAUCGAACAGGAUUAGAUACCCUGGUAGUCCGCACAGUAAACGAUGAAUACUUGUUUUCGGCGAUAUAAUGUCGGAGGCAAAGCGAAAGCGAUAAGUAUUCCACCUGGGGAGUACGCCGGCAACGGUGAAACUCAAAGG
rnacentral:rRNA from 1 species